rnacentral:lncRNA from 1 species
AGACACAUGCUCCAAGAGCAGCCAAAAAAGGUUAACUGGCUGUCAGCUUUGGAGUCUGACCAUUAGCUGGGAGACACAAUGCUUAUUUACAGGGCAAGCAGAAAGCAGUGGAGUCUGUGGGAAAGGAGAAGCGACAGAGUCUGUACAGAGAACUCUGAAACAGAAAGCAAGUCAGAAGAUAAUUUCUCUUGAAGGCAUUUCAGGCACCUGCCGUUCCAAUUGGGCUCUUUUGGAAAGAAGCAUCCAGUGGGAUGAAUGCAAGAAUCAAGGCAGAAGUAGUUUGAUACGAUUUGGAGUUUCAGGACUGCAUGCUGAACUCAGCCCUAGUGCUCAAGCUUUGAGAACAUUCAAUCCUUGCAGUCUGUUCUCCUACAACCUAUAAUGGCCUCAUGGGAGCUACAACUAGUCAUUCGCACAGCUCCAGUGUUGAGCCAGAAAUCUCCAGGUUUCCUGAGGGCAUCAAUCUCUAGAUUAGAUAUUGAAAGGCUGCUCUCAGAUCUCCCCGGGGCCUUCUCUUCUCCAGUCUGAACACCUCCAGCUCUCCCAGACUGUCCUCACAGGGAGGUGUUUCAUCCCUUGGAUCAUUUUUGUGGCCCUCUUCUGGAUGUGCUCCAACAGACACGUCUCUCCUGUAUUGACUCCAUGUCUGGAUGCAGUACUCCAGCAUAGCUUCCAGGAGGAUCUGUUCCAUGACCUUCCUCACCACAGAGAUGAGGCUG